CCUGGAGUCAUUAAUUAUUUCAUCCUUGCAGGCUGGGAAGCGUGUAGGCACAGAAGGACAAGGCUCGGGUGUGCUUAGCUAGUGCAGUUAUCUGGCUGGAGCUUUCUAUCUGAAUCAGUACAAAACUGCACGGUCCUGAUUGGUUAAUCCUGUUUCUCACUUUGAACAUCACAUCAGUGCAAUUACUGCACAAACAGGAAAGCGCAGGGCGGGCUGAUGUGUGAAUGCCAGCUCUAUUCCGGGAGACACAGCGAUCUUACA